UACGUAGGGGGCUAGCGUUGUCCGGAAUCAUUGGGCGUAAAGCGCGUGUAGGCGGUCCGGUAAGUCCGCUGUGAAAGUCGAGGGCUCAACCCUCGAAUGCCGGUGGAUACUGUCGGGCUAGAGUACGGAAGAGGCGAGUGGAAUUCCUGGUGUAGCGGUGAACUGCGCAGAUAUCAGGAGGAACACCAAUAGCGAAGGCAGCUCGCUGGGACGUUACUGACACUGAGGCGCGAAAGCGUGGGGAGCGAACAGG
rnacentral:rRNA from 1 species